rnacentral:rRNA from 1 species
GACGAACGCUGGCGGCGUGCUUAACACAUGCAAGUCGAACGGUGAAGCUCCGGCUUGCUGGAGUGGAUCAGUGGCGAACGGGUGAGUAACACGUGAGCAACCUGCCCCUGACUCUGGAAUAAGCGCUGGAAACGGCGUCUAAUACUGGAUACGAGAAGGGUCCGCAUGGGCACUUUCUGGAAAGUUUUUCGGUUGGGGAUGGGCUCGCGGCCUAUCAGCUUGUUGGUGAGGUAAUGGCUCACCAAGGCGACGACGGGUAGCCGGCCUGAGAGGGCGACCGGCCACACUGGGACUGAGACACGGCCCAGACUCCUACGGGAGGCAGCAGUGGGGAAUAUUGCACAAUGGGCGAAAGCCUGAUGCAGCGACGCCGCGUGAGGGAUGACGGCCUUCGGGUUGUAAACCUCUUUCAGCAGGGAAGAAGCGAAAGUGACGGUACCUGCAGAAGAAGCACCGGCUAACUACGUG